rnacentral:rRNA from 1 species
UACGUAGGGUGCGAGCGUUAAUCGGAAUUACUGGGCGUAAAGCGUGCGCAGGCGGUUGUGCAAGACAGAUGUGAAAUCCCCGGGCUUAACCUGGGAACUGACAUUUGUGACUGCACGGCUAGAGUGUGUCAGAGGGGGGUAGAAUUCCACGUGUAGCAGUGAAAUGCGUAGAUAUGUGGAGGAAUACCGAUGGCGAAGGCAGCCCCCUGGGAUAACACUGACGCUCAUGCACGAAAGCGUGGGGAGCAAACAGG